UGGGGAACACUUGUUGCCUCGGGUGUAUGU
rnacentral:piRNA from 1 species